rnacentral:lncRNA from 1 species
CCGGCCGUUUAAGAAGAGCCUGCCACCUCUUUGUCUUCCGCCAUGAUUAUAAGUUUCCUGAGGCCUCCUCAGCCACGAUUCCUGUGCAGCCUGCAGAGCCUUUCAUAUAUAUAUAUUUUGAGACAGGGUCUCACUCUGUCACCCAGGCUGGAGUGCAGGGUUGUGAUCAUAGCUCACUGCAGCCUCAACCUCCUGGCCUCAAGCGAUCCUCCAGCCUUAGCCUCCGAAAGCAAUGGAAUUACAGGUGUGAGCCACCAUGCCCAGCUCUGGAACUCUUAAAAACUGAUGAGAAAAGGCAAGUUAAAAGGUCAGAGGAAUUAGAGUUUGUCAAGCCUCUGAGCCCAAGCUAAGCCAUCAUAUCCCCUGUGACCUGCAGGUAUACAUUGAGAUGGCCUGAAGCAACUGAAGAACCACAAAAGAAGUGAAAAUAGCCAAUUCCUGCCUUUACUGAUGACAUUCCACCAUCAUGAUUUGUUCCUGCCCCACCCUAAUUAACCAGUUGACCUUGUGACAUUCCUUCUCCUGGACAGUGAAUCUCAGGAGCUCCCCACUGAGCACCUUAUGACCUGCCCCUGCCUGCAAGAGAAAAAACCCCUUUAACUGUCAUUUUCCACUACCUACCCAAAUCCUAUAAAACUGCCCCACCCCUCUCUCCCUUUGCUGACUCCCUUUUCGGACUUGGUCUGCCUCCACCCAGGUGAUUAAAAAGCUUUAUUGUUCACACAAAGCCUGUUUGGUGGUCUCUUCACAUGGACACGCCUAACAGAGAUGGUAUAAAAAUGCUUUGAAAACCUAAGAAAAACAUUCAUUUAAUUAUUUGUUUAUUCAACAAAAAUUAAUUGAGCAACUGCUAUGUGCUGCACCCUUGUGAUUGGCACCAGGGGAUAGGCAUGUGAACAAGACAUUGUCCCAUUCAUUUUGGAGCUCAAAAUCUG